GAUGUAUUUAUUAGAUAAAAAAUCAAUGUCUUCGGACUCUUUGAUGAUUCAUAAUAACUUUUCGAAUCGCAUGGCCUUGUGCUGGCGAUGGUUCAUUCAAAUUUCUGCCCUAUCAACUUUCGAUGGUAGGAUAGUGGCCUACCAUGGUUUCAACGGGUAACGGGGAAUAAGGGUUCGAUUCCGGAGAGGGAGCCUGAGAAACGGCUACCACAUCCAAGGAAGGCAGCAGGCGCGCAAAUUACCCAAUCCCGACACGGGGAGGUAGUGACAAUAAAUAACGAUACAGGGCCCUUUCGGGUCUUGUAAUUGGAAUGAGUACAAUGUAAAUACCUUAACGAGGAACAAUUGGAGGGCAAGUCUGGUGCCAGCAGCCGCGGUAAUUCCAGCUCCAAAAGCGUAUAUUAAAGUUGUUGCAGUUAAAAAGCUCGUAGUUGAACCUUGGGCUUGGUUGGCCGGUCCAUCUUUCUGAUGCGUACUGGACCCAACCGAGCCUUUCCUUCUGGCUAGCCUUUUGGCGAACCAGGACUUUUACUUUGAAAAAAUUAGAGUGUUCAAAGCAGGCCUUUGCUCGAAUAUAUUAGCAUGGAAUAAUAGAAUAGGACGUUAUGGUUCUAUUUUGUUGGUUUCUAGGACCAUCGUAAUGAUUAAUAGGGACGGUCGGGGGUAUCAGUAUUCAGUUGUCAGAGGUGAAAUUCUUGGAUUUACUGAAGACUAACUACUGCGAAAGCAUUUACCAAGGACGUUUUCAUUAAUCAAGAACGAAAGUUAGGGGAUCGAAGAUGAUCAGAUACCGUCGUAGUCUUAACCAUAAACUAUGCCGACUAGGGAUCGGUUGUUGUUCUUUUAUUGACGCAAUCGGCACCUUACGAGAAAUCAAAGUC
rnacentral:rRNA from 1 species